rnacentral:rRNA from 1 species
AUUGAACGCUGGCGGCAUGCCUUACACAUGCAAGUCGAACGGCAGCACGGGAGCAAUCCUGGUGGCGAGUGGCGAACGGGUGCGUAACGCGUGGGAAUCUGCCCAGUAGCGGGGGACAACUCGGGGAAACUCGAGCUAAUACCGCAUACGCCCUACGGGGGAAAGGCUUCGGCCACUAUUGGAUGAGCCCGCGUCGGAUUAGCUUGUUGGUGGGGUAAUGGCCUACCAAGGCGACGAUCCGUAGCUGGUCUGAGAGGAUGAUCAGCCACACUGGGACUGAGACACGGCCCAGACUCCUACGGGAGGCAGCAGUGGGGAAUAUUGCGCAAUGGGCGAAAGCCUGAUGCAGCAACGCCGCGUGGAGGAUGACACAUUUCGGUGCGUAAACUCCUUUUAUAUAGGAAGAUAAUGACGGUACUAUAUGAAUAAGCACCGGCUAACUCCGUG